rnacentral:lncRNA from 1 species
GUCAUAAAAUACUAUCGACAAAGGAGUUAAAAGAGAAGAAGUACUAUAAAUGGCAUAAUCGAUGGAGCCAUAGUAUAAACAACUAUCUAGAGUUUAGAUAUAUUAUACAAAAAAUCAUUAUGAAAGAUAGAUUGAAGUUUUCUGAUAAAGAUAAGGAGGUUAUAUUCAUCGAUGCAGAUCCCUUUUCAGAGUAACAGUCAAUAUGAUAAGUGCAAAUCUAACCAAUAUAGUGGGUAAUCAUGGCCAAAAUAGAAUACAAAAGGCUGAAGACAUGAAAAAGUGAAUAAUGGAGGAGCUACAACAAUGGGAGAGGGGGUUUGUGGACUUACGACAUAAAGACCUAUUGCAUUUAGAAGUUUCAUAUUGAUUUUGCAAUUGAGUAUUUUGGUUUAAUGUCAUACCAAAAAGAGCAGUGCAUCACCAGAAGCGACAUCAGAAGAAUUGGCCUUAACAUCUUCUAGUUAAAAAAUGAAAAAGAAGAAAUUUAAAGUACAGACCAUCAGGAAGAACAUCGAUGAGGGAAAGGAUGUAAAUUGAAAGUCCAACCAACGUAAAAGAUAAAGAAAAAGAAUUGGAGCCCAAAUGGAAUGAUGAUGGCAAGCACAAAUAGUGUGAUGAUGGCAAGCCU